ensembl:lncRNA
GGAGAGGCUGGUGUCCUGUGGGUUGUGUCUGGCUGGGAUAGGCUGGUGUCCUGUGGGUUGUGUCUGGUGUCCUGUAGGUUGUGUCUGGCUAGGAGAGGCUGAUGUCCUGUAGGUUGUGUCUGGCGUCCUGUAGGUUGUGUCUGGCUGGGAUAGGCUGGUGUCCUGUGGGUUGUGUCUGGCGUCCUGUAGGUUGUGUCUGGCUGGGAGAGGCUGGUGUCCUGUGGGUUGUGUCUGGCUGGGAUAGGCUGGUGUCCUGUGGGUAGUGUCUGGCUGGGAGAGGCUGGUGUCC